AGGAUUGCACAGUGGCAGUAUCAUUGGCAAUGAGGUUAAUCCAAGGUGUGAUUAUUGCUAAUUGAAAACUUUUCCUGAGAUUGAAAGCUGAACAUCUGAGAUGGGAGAGCACAAUUAGUUAUACUGUUUAAGGAGA
rfam:Alligator mississippiensis ScZkoYb_33, whole genome shotgun sequence.